GCGGAGCUGCACGAGCACAUUUGGGGAUGACUAUAUUGAUUGUGACGUGAAAUGUUAGCCUGGAAAUUUGUUUGAGGAGAUGUGCAUUGACUUGAGACCGUUUGCAGUUCCUCAUGAUACUUCACCGAUGGAGAAGGAAUCGACUGCUGCGCAAACAACACAAAAAUCAAAGAAGAAGAAUGAUAAGAAGACUCAUCCAUCUCAGCCUGCCGGUGCUUCUGCCGAGCCUGGACUGGUGCCGGCAGUUUGGAAGGUUGAGCAAGGGCAGUGUACCGGAGCAGAUGGAACGGAAUCACCUGUCCCGGGGGAAACGACGCCUACCUGUCAAUCAAGUGAUUUGAUUGAUUGUGAAAGCAAGGACAAUUGCAUGUUUAAUACCAGAGUGGAAGAUUGUGAUGGAGGGCUCACAAAGAAGCAGUUUUUAAAAAUGCUGCGUCUUUGUCCGAACGCUACGACCAACUCCGAGGAACAACCGGAAUCGAAGCGACGGUGCAUCUUCCUUCCUCCUGAUGCACCUCCGUCCACAAAAGUUCUGGAGAAAGAGGGUUCACGAGCUCCAAACACUGCUGAAAAUCAAAAGGCAAUUGUCCAAAACGUUCCAAGGAGAGAGUCUGCACACAUCAAUGAUGCAUCAUGCACAACCAACCAUGGAAAUGUGAGAUCAUUUUUAUUUUAUUUUAUUUAGAAACAAUUGAAUAGUCUAUGGUGCUAAUAAAUUUCAAUGUCGGAUCAUUUACAUCAACACUUGGUACCUCCGCCACCGAAGGUGGAGGUAGGUUAUGGUUGCACCCGUCUGUCUGUGAGCAUGACAUGUCAAGUUGUGCGUGGAUUCGGAUGAAAUUUGGUGGGCAGGUUUGGUGUGCGACGAAGAUGAGUCGAUUCUAUUUUGGUGAAGAUCGGGAGAAGAGGAUUAAAAAAUAUAUAUAUAUAUACAUGUUCUUUAAAUGAUUCUUCACAGGGAUAGGGCCAAAAACGACACGAUAUUUUUAAAAGUUAUGGACGGGUUAUGACAAAACUUGCUGGAUCAUUUUGGUAGGUGACGACAAGAACAAGCCGAUUAGAUUUUGGGUCCGGUCUGGAUGAAGAUCCAGCCUACGAGUGGGAUACAAAACGUAAACUCUCUCUUCAUCCUGGUGGAUGAAUGCGCUAUACCGGGUACCAUUCGAGUUUUAAAAUAUAAUUUGUAACCUGCACUAGUCUGACAGAAUGGUGCAGAGGUGAUGCGCUUCGCUGCCCAAUCUGGGUUUGAUUCCCGACCUGGUUAUAAAAUGUCACGUUGGUGCUUCGCAGGUGGAUAUUGCAUGAUUGUCACUCGGAUUGACUUUAAGCUGGGUGUACUGUCUGCUUGCAUUAGUUGGUGGACCUUAAAGAUCACACGGCAUCUACUGUGAAGAAUAGGUGACUUAGCAUGGGCACCCUAAACAAAUGACAAAUUGCUGCCCAAAUCUCCUUCUACCAUAGGUCAGGGCCCGGCCAGUCACUUUGUGGAAGACUUUGGCCAAAAGUCUUACCCGGUCAACCCCCCCGAAGAAGUAGUGGCAGUAUAACUUGGAGGUAUGUGCACUCACUUUUGAGCAGUUAAGCCAAGGUUGAAAUCUCAGCCUGGCUAUAAACUGUCAUCCUGGUGUUUCACAUGCAGGUUGAUUUAUCAGUGUGCGCGCAGUCCCUCGGAAGGACAUUAAACUGGACGUCCUGUCUGCCAGCGUUAGCUCUUCGUGAAAAGUAAGCAUGUCAUUGCGAACACCCUGAACAAACUAAAAUACCUGCAUGUACUGCGGGUAUUGAGUAGCCUGAUCUUCCUGGAGGUUCCUUGACACCAGGUUACACCACCUGCUAUCUCAAAAUAUGGUUGCUAUCUGGGAAGCAGUUUCUAGCCUUCUACCCAACAAUUCGACCAGGUGGUUUGCAUAUCUCCUGUCAACGGCCUUCUUCAAAUACGAGGGGCAACCACGAACAAUAGCAUCUGCAGCAGUGGUAUUCAAACACAUCACUUUUGCAAAAUACUGCGCACAAACCAGUGCCCAAGGAAGUGACGUCAUUCCUGCAUAGUGGUUUCAAAAAGAUUCAAGACCACAAUAUGCAGUUGCUCGUGAAUCGGAACCGCAGUUAUUGAGCUGAAACGCUGCUUGCUGAAAUAUAUGGGGAAAACAGAAACUUGUCUCGAACAGGAUUCGUGGCAAUGUAUUUCUUACACGAGAAACACCCACUCGUUAAGGGAGCAUUGGCAAGUCGUCCGUCGUCCGCCCCCAAUCUUCCUCCGCCCUGGCAAGACCGGUCUUUAUUUAUUUAUUUUAGAAGAGAAGGGAAGGAACGUGUAUAGACCACAUGGAGGGGGAGGUGGGGGGAGGUGGGUUAAACGUUCUGCUACGUUAGUUUACAUUAUAAGUAGAUGGCCCUGAAUUAACGUCCAUAGACCUGUCAGUAAAGUGACAUUCUUUGGGGUUUUUAAGUGAGGUUGUCCUCACACAGGUUACGCGACCGGUCAUAUGGGUGCCUUUCAUGUUUGGAGGUGAAGCUCCGGGUCAUGACGUCCAACGUGCUUACUCCCGCUGUGCCACGCUUCCUCGAGUGCAGCAAGGACCAUGCCAAGGCCGUACUUGCCCAGGUACAUGGAUGGCCUUUAAAAUCCAGUCGUUAAAUCAGUAAUUCCUUGGUCUGAUGUAUCAUUCUCCUUGACCAAUGUCUUCACA
ensembl:lincRNA